UGCUAUUGACUUGAUCAAGCCUGCC
rnacentral:piRNA from 1 species